GGGUGCGAUCAUACCAGCACAAUGCACCGGAUCCAUCAGAACUCCGCAGUUAAACGUGCUUGGGCGAGGUAGUACUAGGAUGGGUGACCUCCUGGAAGUCCUCGUGUUGCACCCU
rnacentral:rRNA from 1 species